CAUAUUUCCUCUUCCUGUGUUCAUUAGAACUGAGGCCUUUUAAGGCAACAAGGCGUUGUUCUAACGUACUGCUCAGCAAGAUUGAACAUCUGUUAUUGGUAUAUAUUAGAUCCUUGUCCAGUCAAUUAGAUAACUGUCUAGUCAAUGUAAUCCUUGUCCAGUCUAGUUGCUAUUAUAGGUAUGGGGAAGUGUAGUUGAUGUUCUUGUGUUUGAUGGAAAAGAUCACACCCUGUUUGUAGAAUACCUCCCUUAGGAUAAAAUGGAAAAUUGGAAUAAGACACUUCUUACAGCUGCUAAGAAUGGAAAUGUAAAAGAUGUGAAAAAAUGUCUUAAGAAUAAAGCAGACAUUGAUAAUCAAGAUGU